GUGAGGAAUAUUGCGCAAUGGAGGCAACUCUGACGCAGCCAUGCCGCGUGCAGGAAGAAGGCGCUACGCGUUGUAAACUGCUUUUAACCGGGAAGAAACCCCAGGACGUGUCCUGGGUUGACGGUACCGGAGGAAUAAGCACCGGCUAACUUCGUGCCAGCAGCCGCGGUAAUACGAAGGGUGCAAGCGUUAUCCGGAUUCAUUGGGUUUAUAGGGUGCGUAGGCGGAGCGUUAAGUCAGUGGUGAAAUCCUGCAGCUUAACUGUAGACUUGCCAUUGAUACUGGCGCUCUUGAGUGCGCUUGAAGUGGGCGGAAUGUGCCGUGUAGCGGUGAAAUGCUUAGAUAUGGCACAGAACACCAAUUGCGAAGGCAGCUCACUAAGGCGAUACUGACGCUGAGGCACGAAAGCGUGGGGAUCGAACAGGAUUAGAUACCCGGGUAGUCC
rnacentral:rRNA from 1 species